rnacentral:rRNA from 1 species
GCGCACCAGUCGCGAAACCCUCGCAAUGCGGGAAACCGCGACGAGGGGACUCCCAGUGCCUACGCUCAGCGUAGGCUGUUCCCGAGCCUAGAAAGCUCGGGGAGUAAGGGCUGGGUAAGACGGGUGCCAGCCGCCGCGGUAAUACCCGCAGCCCGAGUGGUGGCCACUAUUAUUGGGCCUAAAGCGUCCGUAGCCGGCCCGGUAAAUGCCUGGGUAAAUCGUGAGGCCUAACCUCACGAAUUCCGGGUAGACUGCCGGGCUAGGGACCGGAGGAGGGAGAGGGUACUCCAGGGGUAGGGGUGAAAUCCUGUAAUCCCUGGAGGACCACCGGUGGCGAAGGCGCUCUCCUAGGACGGGUCCGACGGUGAGGGACGAAAGCCAGGGGAGCGAACCGGAUUAGAUACCCCCGUAGU